rnacentral:rRNA from 1 species
GACAGAGGUGCCGAGCGUUAGGCGGAAUCACUGGGCUUAAAGCGUGUGUAGGCGGGUCGUUAAGUACCUUGUGAAAUCCCCCGGCUCAACCGGGGAACUGCUGGGUAUACUGGCGAUCUUGAGCGAUCUAGGGGCAGAUGGAACAAGUGGUGGAGCGGUGAAAUGCGUAGAUAUCAUUUGGAACGCCAAUGGUGAAAACAGGUAGCUGGGGCUGUGCUGACACUGAGACACGAAAGCCAGGGGAGCAAACGGG